rnacentral:rRNA from 1 species
CCGGCGACCGGCGCACGGGUGAGUAACGCGUAUGCAACCUGCCCGUUUCAGCGGGAUAACCCGGAGAAAUCCGGCCUAAUACCGCAUGUGGCCGAGGGGAGGCAUCUUCUUUCGGCCAAAGGAGGCGUCUCCGGAGACGGAUGGGCAUGCGUGACAUUAGCUAGUUGGCGGGGUAACGGCCCACCAAGGCGACGAUGUCUAGGGGUUCUGAGAGGAAGGUCCCCCACACUGGUACUGAGACACGGACCAGACUCCUACGGGAGGCAGCAG